rnacentral:rRNA from 1 species
AUUGAACGCUGGCGGCAGGCCUAACACAUGCAAGUCGAGCGGAGCGGCGGACGGGUGAGUAAUGCCUAGGAAUCUGCCUGGUAGUGGGGGAUAACGUCCGGAAACGGGCGCUAAUACCGCAUACUAUCAGAUGAGCCUAGGUCGUAUUAGCUAGUUGGUUGGGUAAAGGCCUACCAAGGCGACGAUCCGUAACUUGUCUGAGAGGAUGAUCAGUCACAAGGGAACUGAGACACGGUCAGGACUACUACGUGAGGCAGCAGUGGGGAAUAUUGGGCAAGGGGCGAAAGCCUGAUCCAGCCAUGGCGCGGGUGUGAAGAAGGUCUGCGGAUUGUAAAGCACUUUAAGUUGGGAGGCGGUAACAACAGAAUAAGCACCGGCUAACUUCGUGCCAGCCGCGGCGGUAAUUG